AACACCGAUGGCGUAGGCAGGCUACUGGUCAAUUACUGACGCUGAUGCACGAAAGCUAGGGGAGCGAAAGGGAUUAGAGACCCCUGUAGUCCUAGCCGUAAACGAUGGACACUAGAUGCCUGUAUUUUUAUAUGGGUGUCGCAAGCUAACGCGUUAAGUGUCCCGCCUGGGGAGUACGGCCGCAAGGCUAAAACUCAAAGGAAUUGACGGGGACCUGCACAAGCGGUGGAGCAUGUGGUUUAAUUCGAAACAAAGCGAAAAACCUUACCAGGGUUUGACAUCCUAGCUGCACGCCGUUGGAAACAAUGGUUUCUUCGAGAGUGCUAGGACAGGUGCUGCAUGGCUGUCGUCAGCUUGUACCGUGAGGCGCGCCCUUAAGUGGGUCAACAAGCGCAACCCCCAUUGUAUGUUAAAUAUUCAUACGAAACCGCCCGCUAAAAGCGUGGAGGAAGGCGGGGAUGACGUCAAGUCAGCACGGCCCUUAUGCCCUGGGCUACACACAUCCUACAAUGGAUGUUUUACAGCGAGUUUGCAACAUCGUAAGGUGAAGCUAAUCUCUUAAAAGCAUCCUCAGUUCGGAUUGAGGGCUGCAAUUUGCCCUCAUGAAGUUGAAAUCGCUAGUAAUCGCGGAUCAGCAGGCCGCGGUGAAUACGUUCUCGGGUCUUGUACACACCGCCCGUCAAGCCAACAAAGUCGGGAGUGCCCGAAGUAUCCUUUUUGGGUCCUAAGGCAAUACCGGCGAUGGGGACUAAGUCGUAACAAGGUAUCCGUUCUGGAAGGAGCGGAUG
rnacentral:rRNA from 1 species